UAAGGGCUUGAUUGGUUCUC
rnacentral:siRNA from 1 species